rnacentral:lncRNA from 1 species
GCUUUUGUAAAUAUGUGUGCAUCUUGUCUCUUACAGUUUUAUUGUGAAAAGUGAAAAGAAAAAAGAGGCAAGAUGAGGAAAAAGAAAGAAAAAAAAAAGAAAAUAAAAGAAAACAAAAUUGUGAAUAAUGGAGUCAAGAAGAGGAUUGAAUUAGAGGUUUUGGGUGUGAGUUGAUUGUGUUUACACUUGUUCCCCAUUGGUCCUCUAUUUCUUUUGGUUUGUAACUUCUC